GGCGGACGGGUGAGUAACGCGUGGGUAACCUGCCUUAUACAGAGGGAUAACAGUCAGAAAUGACUGCUAAUACCGCAUAAGCGCACAGGACCGCAUGGUCCGGUGUGAAAAACUCCGGUGGUAUAAGAUGGACCCGCGUUGGAUUAGCUGGUUGGUGAGGUAACGGCUCACCAAGGCGACGAUCCAUAGCCGGCCUGAGAGGGUGAACGGCCACAUUGGGACUGAGACACGGCCCAGACUCCUACGGGAGGCAGCAGUGGGGAAUAUUGCACAAUGGGGGAAACCCUGAUGCAGCGACGCCGCGUGAAGGAAGAAGUAUCUCGGUAUGUAAACUUCUAUCAGCAGGGAAGAUAGUGACGGUACCUGACUAAGAAGCCCCGGCUAACUACGUGCCAGCAGCCGCGGUAAUACGUAGGGGGCAAGCGUUAUCCGGAUUUACUGGGUGUAAAGGGAGCGUAGACGGACUGGCAAGUCUGAUGUGAAAGGCGGGGGCUCAACCCCUGGACUGCAUUGGAAACUGUUAGUCUUGAGUGCCGGAGAGGUAAGCGGAAUUCCUAGUGUAGCGGUGAAAUGCGUAGAUAUUAGGAGGAAC
rnacentral:rRNA from 1 species